rnacentral:rRNA from 1 species
GAUGAACGCUGGCGGCGUGCCUAAUACAUGCAAGUCGAGCGAACAGACGAGGAGCUUGCUCCUUUGACGUUAGCGGCGGACGGGUGAGUAACACGUAGGUAACCUACCUAUAAGACUGGGAUAACUUCGGGAAACCGGAGCUAAUACCGGAUAAUAUUUCGAACCGCAUGGUUCAAUAGUGAAAGAUGGCUUUGCUAUCACUUAUAGAUGGACCUGCGCCGUAUUAGCUAGUUGGUAAGGUAACGGCUUACCAAGGCAACGAUACGUAGCCGACCUGAGAGGGUGAUCGGCCACACUGGAACUGAGACACGGUCCAGACUCCUACGGGAGGCAGCAGUAGGGAAUCUUCCGCAAUGGGCGAAAGCCUGACGGAGCAACGCCGCGUGAGUGAUGAAGGUCUUCGGAUCGUAAAACUCUGUUAUUAGGGAAGAACAAACGUGUAAGUAACUGUGCACAUCUUGACGGUACCUAAUCAGAAAGCCACGGCUAACUACGUG